GACGAACGCUGGCGGCGUGCUUAACACAUGCAAGUCGAACGCUGAAGCUUGGUGCUUGCACUGGGUGGAUGAGUGGCGCACGGGUGAGUAAUACGUGAGUAACCUGCCCUUGACUCUGGGAUAAGCCUGGGAAACUGGGUCUAAUACUGGAUACGACAUGCCACUGCAUGGUGGUGUGUGGAAAGGGUUUUGCUGGUUUUGGAUGGGCUCACGGCCUAUCAGCUUGUUGGUGGGGUAAUGGCCUACCAAGGCGACGACGGGUAGCCGGCCUGAGAGGGUGACCGGCCACACUGGGACUGAGACACGGCCCAGACUCCUACGGGAGGCAGCAGUGGGGAAUAUUGCACAAUGGGCGGAAGCCUGAUGCAGCGACGCCGCGUGCGGGAUGACGGCCUUCGGGUUGUAAACCUCUUUCAGCACGGAAGAAGCGAGAGUGACGGUACUUGCAGAAGAAGCGCCGGCUAACUACGUG
rnacentral:rRNA from 1 species